rnacentral:rRNA from 1 species
UACAGAGGCCUCGAGCGUUAGGCGGAAUCACUGGGCUUAAAGCGUGUGUAGGCGGCCUUCUAAGUACCUUGUGAAAUCCCACGGCUCACCCGUGGAACUGCUGGGUAUACUGGUCGUCUUGAGCCUUCUAGGGGCUGCCGGAACAAAUGGUGGAGCGGUGAAAUGCGUAGAUAUCAUUUGGAACGCCAAUGGUGAAAACAGGCAGCUGGGGAAGUGCUGACGCUGAGACACGAAAGCCAGGGGAGCGGACGGG